rnacentral:rRNA from 1 species
AUUGAACGCUGGCGGCAUGCCUUACACAUGCAAGUCGAACGGCAGCACGGGGGCAACCCUGGUGGCGAGUGGCGAACGGGUGAGUAACAUAUCGGAACAUACCCUAGAGUGGGGGAUAACGUAGCGAAAGUUACGCUAAUGCCGCAUACGAUCUAAGGAUGAAAGUGGGGGAUCUUCGGACCUCAUGCUCAUGGAGUGGCCGAUAUCUGAUUAGCUAGUUGGUGAGGUAAAGGCUCACCAAGGCGACGAUCAGUAGCUGGUUUGAGAGAACGACCAGCCACACUGGAACUGAGACACGGUCCAGACUCCUACGGGAGGCAGCAGUGGGGAAUUUUGGACAAUGGGGGCAACCCUGAUCCAGCAAUGCCGCGUGAGUGAAGAAGGCCU